rnacentral:lncRNA from 1 species
CAGUGUGUCUAUCUCUAAAACUAGAUUUCAUCAUCAGUUAAGGAAAGACUGAGAGCACAAAUAUCUUACUACUCCAGUUUCUAUAGCAAAUGACUUGGCACUCAGAGAGAAGAAAGGGAGGGAGGAGAUAGGGAAGAGACACCAAAGAAUUACCUCAUAUACACACAUACAUUGUACACACACACACAGCAUGCACAUACAUACAUUUUUCCCUCUUAUAAUCAUAAUGUCAAAAAAUUGUCCAAAUUCCUUAUUUUGUUCAAAUAUAAUGUGCCUAAUAUUUUUUUAAAAUGAAUGUGCCAUUGGAUGGUUUUAUAAAAAGUGUAUCAAGGAGUUCCCUUGUGGCACAGUGGGUUAAGGAUCCAGUAUUGUCACUGCAGCAGUUCGGGUUGCUGCUGUGGUAUGUGUUCAAUCCCUGGCCCAGAAACUUCCACAGGUGUGGCCAAAAAAAAGUAUGUCAAAAUAGAGAUAUUGCUUUGUUACAUACUUUGUGUAAACACAUUUUUUUCAUUCAAUAUAAAAAUUAUUGAUCACCUACUGUGGGAUAAACUAUUUGCUAGGUCCUGCACAUGUGAAGAUGGAUAAAAUAGAUUUUUGCUUUCCUACAGAUUACAGAUUAAUGAAGUAGAAUGACUAGUAGGUAUUUGAAUUGUAAUAUAACAAGGCAAACAUGUGACUCCGUAAAGUUAUAAAUUAGCACAUGAAUCCUAGGGAUAAGGUAACUAACUGAAUGGUUAUCCUAACACCAGUCCUUUGUUCUUUUACCCAAAACAGGAUGUAUUCAUUUAAAAACUUUUAAGAAAUUAAUAUUAAUUUUGUUAUCUCACAUCGAAGCCUUUGAAGACCACUCAGGAGUACUCUUCCUGCCUUCCUUGUAUAGGUGCCCAUAUUUUCUUUUCUAACUCAACCCUUCAACUUUUGCCUAUAUCAUUUCUCUUCUCCCAACGAAAGAUGGUAAGAGCUUAGUCAAAGGUGAAGGGAGGAGUGAAGGCAUGAUAAAAUUAUUGGGGUACAAGCAAAUACAUCAGGGAUUACUCUUUAGAUAUAAUGACAGAAACUUAACUCAAACUUGAUUAGGAAAGAAAGGUGAUUAUUGUCCUUCACAACCAAAACUGUUUCGGUGAGGAAUAUGCUACUGAUGGGGGAUUACUGCAGCUUGGGGAUAGUCUCACCAUCUCACAGGUGUACUAUCCCCAUGUCCAUUUCAUUCUUUCACAUUUCCUCCACAUCGUUAAAACAAUGGCUACAGCUAGUUUCCAGGCCAUUAAGAUACAGCAAGAGGUCCGUCUAUUUGUUUUCACUUGAGAAACUCUUUAGAAAGAUUUUGAUUUGGCAUAUAAGACCAGGAACAAUGAAAGGUGAUCAGAAGAGUAGAGGCCAAGAUGAUGGUGGGUCUUGUUCAACCAUACAAUGAACAGUGGUUGGAGUGGAAGAAAGAGAAAACAUUUGCAAAGAAGAGGAAUGAGUGGUAGGCCCAACUGAAGCAGCCAUACACGCAUGCUGGUUUUUAAUGAAUGUCUACUGCAUUUCUAUAAUGUGCCCAGCCCUGCACUGGUGCCAACGUCUUGUAGGGGAAAAUAGCAUUUAGUCAAAUAAUCUACAAAUAAGCCUUCUUAAAGGAGGACAGGGGCGGUUGCCCUGUUCCAGCUGAGUUCCACUCUCAUGCAUCUUUCUGAACCUGACCAUAGUCAGCUCUAUCAGCCUGGGAUCAGAUGGGAAAACAAAGCUAUUGUAACUAUCUCUAAAUUUCACUUAGAAGUUAAGAUUUACAGGUUGUUGGAAGAGCUGGGGAGGGAAGAUCAGAGCACUGGCACAUGGAAAAUCAAGAGCACUAAAUCUGGAAAGUUAGGGAGGUUUGUGAAGACUUCUGCCAUUUGUAGCAAUAAUGUGCAUAGUUCUCAUGCACUUGCUGCAAAGCUGCUGUGACCCUCAUGCCUGCCUACAAAUUUGGCUGCCACCACAUCCAGAGAAUAAUGGCUUAACUUCUCUUCUGCAGUCCAAACCUCAUGUAACUUCUUUUCAAAGGGAAAUUCUACCCAGAAUGAAACAGGGAAGAGGACCCUGGGGAAUGUAAUUUUCAAGAUCUUAGAAGGGUGGGGUUACGGUGCUAAGUUGGCAGCAGACAAUCCAUCUCAGCAUCUUUAUCUUGUUUCAGACGUUAGCAUGUUGAGCAAUAUUUAUUGAUGAUCCGCUUGUGCCAGUCACUCUGCUCAGCCUUUCAUAUAUAUUUCCUCAGUGAAGCCAUCUAAAGCCCCCAAUAGUGGUGUGGGAUGGGCGGAAUAGGAGGGAAGGAGAGUUGAAAACUAAAGCCAAGAGAGGAUGCUGGCCACUGGUUCUACAGCUGAAGUAACAGUGGAGCUACAGUUCAAAUCCUAAUCUCUGAUAAGAGAACCCAAUUUUUGAACUGCACACCAUAUUGUCCCUGUGACCUAUUCUUCUUUGAUAACUGUUGGUUUUGGCUAACAAAGCCAAGCUACUUUAUUUUCCCAUAUGGUUUCACUGCAGAUGGCACUUUUAACUUCAAUGACUCUUGUAAAAGGGCCAUUUGGGGAGACAUGUUUAGGGGAUGCAUAAGGCUUAAAGUCUAAAAGAUAGAUGCAUUCCACCCCAAAAUAUCAUCAAUUUUGAGAGAAGCUAAAUAGACUGCAUGCACCACAGACAGAUGAGAUUCCUUCCCCAAAAUUAUUCAAGGUAAAAAUAAAACAAUAUUUGGAAAUGGUUUAUUGACAGGAUUAAUCCUUUUUAUAAUGCAGGAUGGUGACUCUGCUGGGCAAUUUUAAGAAAAAUCUAUGCCCUUGUGAAUUGUGACAUAGUAUGAAAGUAUGUUGAAAUGAAGAUAGGUGCUAUUGCAAUGAAAGUGAAAGGAAGUUAUAGCGAAAUAUGAGACAGGGAGAAAUUGCCAGGGAAAAAAUGUACUAGAAAUUAUCAGAACAAUUUUAGAAAGGAAGAGAGAGAGAGAGGGAGAGAGAGAGAAUGUGAAAGAGCUUGAUUGUGUAUAAAAUAUUAAAUUAACAUAUUCUGGUCCUCAGAAAGAAACAAUCUGUAGAGUGACAGUGUUCAAAGGGCUUAAUGAAGAAGCUUUCAAUCCCAGUCCAGUCCUUCUGUAGGAUCUCACACUACCCCAAAAUCUCUGCUUGUUAAUUUCAUGUUUAUGAAUUUUGAUAUUGGGAGUGGGCUAUCAUGUAUAGUAGAAAUGAUCUUUUUGAUUACUGCACAGAUGCGUUCUAAAAUAAAUACAUAUAUCUGCUUUAUAAAUGCAUUUCUGAUACAUAUAUAUUCAAACUCACAAAUUUCCAAAGGCCUCCCUGUAGAGAUGGAAUAUUGAAAUAUUGGACACAGAAAGCUGCAAGCCAAAUACUAGGUCACUAUGAUGACUCCAUCAAGACUUGGAAACCCUGUGGGUGUCAUCAUGAUAUGGCCAAUAGCCAUACCUUCUUGUGUCCACAGAGAAGAAUGCAGAUGUAUUUCAGUCCAUGUGACGAUGAAAAAACUGUGUCAAAUGUGUGCCACUGGAAGUUAGUGUGUUGUAAUUCUGAUUUCUUAGCUUGUCUUGGGGGGAAUGAUACAAAGCUGUCCCCUUUGGCAUCUGUGAGCAUUUAAACACUUGAUUUUAAGCAAAACUAUCUUCCAGGUAAAAAUAACAUAGUUUUAAUUAAUAAUAAAUCUUCAGUUUUAGGGGAUGGAUUCAAAAAAUGAAAUGCUUUUUAAAAAAUUCAUGAGGCACAAGUAACAAAUUGUCUAUGAUGAAAUGAGAUUUUUUAACCCUUUUGACUCAUAUUUUUGUAUACUAACAGUAACCAUUAUCAAAUGUGAGGUAAUUAAACAUAGUAAUUUGCUAAUUCCAGAGGCUUUUCAUUUUAAAUUUUGAGAAGAAAUAAGAGUGAUGUCACUUGUGAGAAGCAAAUAGGCUACCUGCAAUGGUUUACAGUCACUCAACUGAGCUACUCAUUUUUCAAUGGAUAUGAUGUCUAUCUAUUCCUAGAUAUUUCUCCAAAGUCUUUAGGCUUCUUCCUAUUUAACAGGUUAAAGCUGCAUCCAUCAUGCCAACCUGCCAUCAUUCUAUCAUCCUUCACCACUGAAAUUCAAAAGAAAAGCUCUUGCUGAGAUGGCUUAGAAGGAAACACAAAAUUUUAAGGUUCUAUAGUAAAUGAGAUCCAUGGCCAGCAGUCAGGCAGCAUGCAUUUCUUAUGAAAAUGGAUGCAUCCUCAUGGGUUCUGCUAUUCUCUCUUAGAGUGGCUGCUACACUGUAGCUGUGAAAACACAAAAUAGGAAUAAGAAGGAGCCAUGUGACAUGGGGAUUUGGUUAAGUCACUUUUAAUUUCUGGAAGUCUGUGUGAAAAAUAAUGCUGAAAUCAAAAUCCAAAAGUAUGGGGUGGAGUGAACCCAAUCUCUGAAUGUUUGGCUGUACAAACUCAAAAACCCCAAGCCUUCUCGCCAAGUGCAGUGUGAUUGGCAGCUCACAGAGAUGUCUCAGAUGGAAAUAGCAGGCAUGUGGAUCAGGCCUGAGGUGAGUAGAACAGAAAUGUGUAUAUCCCUGGAGAAAGAAUGUGGAGAGAGGGAAAUGAUAUUCUGGCAUUCAAGGAAGUUUCUGGAUUCAGCAUAUCAUAUCGAAUAAAAGAUAAUGUGCACUUGGCAAGAGAAAUAAGACUUAAUGACUCAUUAGGUGAGAUAAAUCUGAUUGCUCUUGAAAGAGAUUCUGUCUCAGGUUGCAGAGUUGAGCAAUUAUGUAUGUCAAGAAGCAACUUAUUUAAUUAUAAAUCAGAAUGAGGACAAACCUGAAUAGUAGCAAAAGGGGAAACAAGAAAUAAUGAUUAAAUGGUUUCAGAAUAGCAUAAUAGUACUUAGGCAACAGUGAUAAAUUCCUAAAGUGUGAACACAGUUUAUAGACUCAUGAUAUAUGGCCCUGCUGGGUUAGUGUCUCUCUUUCUUUUUCUUUUUUUUUUUUCCCCUGGCUACACACAUGGCAUGCAGGAGUAUCUGGACCAGGGAUCGAAAUCCAGCCACAGGAGUAACCUGAGCCACAGCAGUGACAGUGCUGAAUCCUUAAGUGCUAGUCCACCAGAGAACUCC